GACGAACGCUGGCGGCGUGCUUAACACAUGCAAGUCGAACGAUGAAGCCGGAGCUUGCUCUUGUGAAUUAGUGGCGAACGGGUGAGUAACACGUGAGUAACCUGCCCUUGACUCUGGGAUAACUGCGGGAAACUGUAGCUAAUACCGGAUACGACCCUCGGAGGCAUCUCCUGGGGGUGGAAAGAAUUUCGGUCAAGGAUGGACUCGCGGCCUAUCAGCUUGUUGGUGGGGUGAUGGCCUACAAAGGCGACGACGUGUAGUCGGCCUGAGAGGGUGACCGGCCACACUGGGACUGAGAUACGGCCCAGACUCCUACGGGAGGCAGCAGUGGGGAAUAUUGCACAAUGGGCGCAAGCCUGAUGCAGCGACGCCGCGUGAGGGAUGACGGCCUUCGGGUUGUAAACCUCUUUCAGCACCGACGAAGCGCAAGUGACGGUAGGUGCAGAAGAAGGACCGGCCAACUACGUGCCAGCCGCCGCGGUAA
rnacentral:rRNA from 1 species